GUGCUUGCUUCGGCGGCACAUAUACUAAAAUUGGAAUAAUAUAGUGGCCUCCGCGCAAGGAUGACACGCAAACUCAUGAAGCGUUCCAUAUUUUA
rnacentral:snRNA from 1 species